UACGUAGGGUGCGAGCGUUAAUCGGAAUUACUGGGCGUAAAGCGUGCGCAGGCGGUUUUGUAAGCCAGAUGUGAAAUCCCCGGGCUUAACCUGGGAAUGGCAUUUGGGACUGCAAAGCUUGAGUGUGGCAGAGGGGACUGGAAUUCCUGGUGUAGCAGUGAAAUGCGUAGAGAUCAGGAGGAAUACCGAUGGCGAAGGCAGGUCCCUGGGCUAACACUGACGCUCAUGCACGAAAGCGUGGGGAGCAAACAGG
rnacentral:rRNA from 1 species